GGAUCCGGUGCCGGCACGCGAUCGGGAUGAACUGGACGUCGAUCGGCGUCGAGCACGUCGGCACCAGGGCGGGCGACAUCCUGCACGACCGGCCGAUGAUCCGCGCAUCGCUGCGGCUGACCGUGUGGCUGAUGGCGCGGUACGGCAUCUCGUGGGGCGACGUGAUCGGCCACGCCGAGAUCCUGCGGAGCCCGUACCACCACGAGCGCUACGAGGAUUGGCGGUGCCGCACGCACGCGGACUGGAACCGCCGAGAGAUGCGCAGGUACCGACGCAGGCUGAAGCGCACCGCCCGGCGGCUCGACGUCCCGAUCGGCGACGCCCCCGCGUGGGUGAACAGCGACUGCUGAGCUCAGCGUGAGUCGCGGAGCGCGGCCGCGGGCAUCCUCGGGCGGGACGCUGUCGAUGGAUGUGGAGGCUGACGCACGAACGCCGGCCGUUCGCGGCUACCUCCCGCCGGCUAUGGCUCGUCGACCUCGGCGAGAUCGAAGGGCUCGCCCUCGCGCCGGCGCUUCGGCGACAGGCUCCGUCCGACGAGCCCCACGACGACGGCCAUGAGGACGACGACGGUUGUGACCGUGAGCGCGAGUCCCGCGAAGAACGCGCCGACGUUCAUCGUGUCGGAGGAGAGAUCCGGGCCGGUCACCACAGCAUGCACGUUCGCGAACGCGUAGAAGAGCACGACGAUGAGGGCCGGCAUCAGCAGGACGAGAGCGACCACGGCCGCCGCUACCCCCAGCCCGAUCCCCCUCGACCCAUCCACGAACGCGACUGUAACAGGGCCCUCCGAAAGCGCGCGUGGAUCGUGCUCGGCUACGCAGUUCGUACGAUGCGCUCCGUGCCGACCUGUGCUGCGCUGAUCUGACGUCCAUCGUUGCUACGAACGGAAGGAACGGCCAUGAUCAAGCGUAUCUCGACCGUCUUCACGCUCGCGCUGGCGCUGCUCGUCGUCGGCGUGGCGCUCGCCCCGGUGGCCGCCGCGAUCCCGCCCGAGCGCUCGUGGGUCGCGUUCGACGACAUGUUCACCGACGACGAGACGUGCGCGUUCCCGCUCGAUGUCCGGUUCGUGGGCCGCCUCGAGAUCACCACGUUCUUCGACCGGCACGGGGACGUCGUGCGUGUCCAGAUGCACGGGUCGGACAUCGGAACGGCAACGAACGCGGUCAACGGCAAGACGGCUCGCGGCGUCGACCACUACAUGGUCGUCGAGCGUGUGAUGGCCGGCACGACGGCCACCGCCGGCCUGUUCGUCCACAUGAACUUCCCGGGCGCGGGCAUCGUGCUCAUCGACGUCGGGAACGUGGUGGUGGACGCCGACGGGAACAUCCUGCACGCGGCCGGUCGGCACGACCUGGUCACGGGGAACUUCUCCGGGCUCUGCGCCGCGCUCGCGUGAGCUGGCGGCGUCGGCCGCCUGAAGUUGCGUCGUCCGUCGCCGGUGUG
rnacentral:misc_RNA from 1 species